rnacentral:lncRNA from 1 species
UUUUUCUUUUUUUUUUUUUUUUUUUUUGCUUUUUGCUUUUUAGGGACGUACCUGUGGCAUAUGGAAAUACCCAUGCUAGGGGUCGAAUAGGAGCUACAGCCAUUGGCCUACACUACAGCUCAUGGCAACACUGGAUCCCCAACUCACCGAGUGAGGCCAGGGAUUGAACCCUCAUCCUCAUGGAUAUUAGUGGGAUUUGUUUCCUCUGCACCACAAUGGUAACUACCUAAAUCACGUUUUUAAAAGUCUCUUGAAAAUAAUUAUUUUUAAAACUUUAAAUAUAUAUAAGCUACAAUUUAUGCUGCAGUAUUCUCUGCUUUGUUCACUGUUCUUGGUAUCUUUUCUAUUCUACCCUUUAAGAAAAACAUUUCAAGGUUUCUGGGGUUUGUGUUGGUAGUUUACAGCUUAAAGGAUUUUCUGAUGCCCAUUCUCUUAGCUACACCCAUCAGUAUCAGUGGGUAUGUUUUCAUAUAGCUUGUUUAGACUAAGAAGAUGUUCAUGAAAGUGAAAUGAUUUUCAGGUGCUUUUGAUUCAUGUGGGGAGCACUAGAACAAUAUCUCAAUUCAUGAUACAGAUGCAUAUUUCAAUUCUGAUUCAAGCACUCAAGUUGGUCAAUCCAUAACUUGGAGAAGGUAAAUAGAACUUCUUUUACAUGUAAAGAAAUUGGGUAUCAGAGAAGUAAAACCUGGCUUUGCCUGUACUGAGAUGAAACCAUUUAUAGGCUUUACCUGUGCUACAUAGUGUGAGCAUUCAUUCACUUCACUACAGAAAUAGGUUUAGAUCACAGCAUGCUGCCCCAGAGCCUGCUGGAAACAUUCUAUGAUACACAGUAUCCAUAUGGACCUUACUGCCAUAAACUCUGAAUUCUCAGUCACACCUGGUCCCAAGGAUUUUCAGUAAGGGAUUGUUGACCUAUAGUUAUUUUCUUUCCAGAAUAGUCAUUCAGGCAAUUUGGUACUUAGAAGCAUAAAUAUAGUGAUGAUAUAUUCUAAAUAUUACAGAACAAUUCUGAUUUCCAGAAUUCCUUUUUAACUUGUAGUUUCUGUGCAAGCCACAGGACACGAUUUUAUAUUUUGAAAGUUAUGAAUAUACUUAUUAUUAGACCUACAAUUCAAACCAGUGUGUAAUUGUACACCAUUAGAGAAAAUUAGAAAACAUUUUUUAAAAUUUACGCUGUUCCCCAAAAGCCGAUGACAAUGUCUGGGAAACAACUUGAUUCUACCUUCUAAUUUUCCUUCCCUUUUAUUAACAAAAUCACAACAUGACUAGGUCACAAACCAGUAAAUUGCAUUUGGCAGCUGAAUGUCACUGUUACCUGUAGGUAAUGGUCUCUUCUGCCUGGCACAUAUACAGUAGGCAUGUAGCAAUUAUUUAAUGGAUAAAUAAAUUAUAACACUUUCAUGGCUGGCUUAAUCCUGUAAGUAAUAAUUGACUUAUAUUACCUCUUAUCACCUGAUUGUUUUCUCAUGAUUGUUUUUAGCUAGUGAAGUGGUUUCAGACAUUGGAAAGAAGUAGAGUAUUGUUUAUGAAACCAUAGAUGGCCUGGAUGGGAGACUGAAUUGGAAUCCUUGAUUCCCAGUACAGAGAAGGCCCUUGAUAUUUAAGAAUAAAAAUAACAGCUGAGCUUUAUGUCAUGUGUUUAAUGCCAUGACCAUAAAGCCAUUACUGUAACGCCUACGUUUAUUUUCUUAAGGAAGCCGCUGAACCGCCCUCAGAAUGGCUUAGUUUUUAGUGACUAUGGUUUUCCUUUGGGACCUCGAUUCCAAGAAGACGCAGUUUUGUCAAAGGCUCUUUCAUCCUGUUUCUUUAAAAAAAAGUACCCUGCAAUAGGUAAAACAUCUUUAGAUAGAAAAAGUAGUCAGCCUACACCAAAUCUUCCCCUACCUCCUUCCUCUUUCAUUUCCCACUUGUGCUUGUGUACUACUAACUAUAUUGAGGGUACAUGGCCACUAAGGUUUAAGGUUUUUUGAGAGCAGGGGCUGUAUCAUAUUUACUUUCACUUUUCCUUCUGUGCUUAAAACAGGACUUCUACUUCUUCAGCAAAUAUUCGUUGAGUAUCCACUAGGUGUCAGAUAUACUAGGUAGAGUCUGGGGAUACCAAGAUAACUAAACAGGGACACAGGGAGAUGCCCUUUGGAAUCUAACAGUCUUAUGUGGGAGAGGGGAAAAAUGGAUCUGUAAGCCAAAAAAAGCUACAGUAUAAUACUACAGUGGAUAGAUGAUUUCCCGGUUUAAAAAUUCUAAAAUCUCUGAAAAUAUCUCUCCACGAAAUUUGAUUGAGCAACUAAAUUUCUACCACUAGAAUAUUAUUCUUUAUAAGACCAGCGUUGCAUUUUGGUUGCCCUAAAGGUUAUUAAUGGGCUAUAAAAUGAUAUUUCUCCCCCUCUUAAAACAUUUUAAUUUUUAAAUUUACAUAGUAAGAUUCACUCUUUUUGAUGUAUAAUUCUGAGUUUUCACAAAUGCCAAAUCAUGUAAUAACCAUAAUCGAGAUAUGGAACAGUUCUACCACCUCCCAGAAUUCUCUUGUGCUGCCCCUUUUUAUAAUUUGUUGUGACAAAAAAUAAUUUUAUUCUUCAAAAAUUAUUGUUUGAAUGUUCCAUGUAUUCAAAAAAAAAUAUGUGGCGUUCCCGCUGUGGCACAGUGCAUUCAGAAUUCAACAGCAGGGAGUUCUCGUGGCACAGCAGAAACAAAUCCUACUAGUAUCCGUAAGAAUGCUGAUUUUAUCCCUGGCCUCACUCAGUGGGUUAUGGAUCUAGCAUUGCCGUGAACUGUGGUGUAGGUCACAAGAGGCUCGGAUCCCCCAUUGCUG